rnacentral:tRNA from 1 species
AUUUAAGUAGUUUAAUUAAAAAAUUUUAAUUUGUGGAAUUAAAGAUAAAUAAUAUUUCUUAGAUA